AUUGAACGCUGGCGGCAGGCCUAACACAUGCAAGUCGAACGAGUGGCGGACGCGUGUGUCAUAUGUGUGAAACUGCCCGAGGGAGGGGGAUAACUACAGGAAACGCUAGCUAAUACCCCAUACCCCAUCGUGUGUCCCGAUGGGAUUAGCUAGUGGGUGGGGUAACGGCCCACCCAGGCGACGAUCCCUAUCUGGUCUGAGAGGAUGACCAGCCAAACUGGAACUGAGACACGGUCCAGACUCCUACGGGAGGCAGCAGUGGGGAAUAUUGCACAAUGGGCGCAAGCCUGAUGCAGCCAUGCCGCGUGUAUGAAGAAGGCCUUCGGGUUGUAAAGUACUUUAAGCGAGGAGGCGUUACUCGCAGAAGAAGCACCGGCUAACUCCGUGCCAGCAGCCGCGGUAAUAC
rnacentral:rRNA from 1 species